rnacentral:tRNA from 2 species
GCGCCUGUAGCUCAGGGGAUAGAGCACCGGUUUCCUAAACCGGGUGUCGGAGGUUCAAAUCCUUCCAGGCGCA